GCUUUAAAUUUUUAUAUUUAAAAGCUUCACAUAGUUAGGUUUGAGUCGGAGGAAGGAGAUCUAGGGGUCAAAAGUCAAUCUUCUUAUUCGAUGGAUAGGAUGGAGGCAUAGAUACAUUCAUAUCAUCAAAUGAGAUGUGUAUGAAUAAUCCAUUUAAAAAUCAGAGGAGUAUAUUGAAAUAUACUCCUUCAUACCGGUUUAGAC
rnacentral:lncRNA from 1 species